UACGUAGGUGGCAAGCGUUGUCCGGAUUUACUGGGUGUAAAGGGCGUGCAGCCGGAGAGGCAAGUCAGAUGUGAAAUCCGCGGGCUCAACUCGCGAACUGCAUUUGAAACUGCUUCCCUUGAGUAUCGGAGAGGUAAUCGGAAUUCCUAGUGUAGCGGUGAAAUGCGUAGAUAUUAGGAAGAACACCAGUGGCGAAGGCGGCUGUCUGGUCUGCAACUGACGCUGAGGCUCGAAAGCAUGGGUAGCGAACAGG
rnacentral:rRNA from 1 species